UACGUAGGGUGCAAGCGUUGUCCGGAAUUAUUGGGCGUAAAGAGCUCGUAGGUGGCCUGUCGCGUCGGCUGUGAAAACUCGGGGCUCAACUCCGAGCUUGCAGUCGAUACGGGCAGGCUAGAGUUCGGCAGGGGAGACUGGAAUUCCUGGUGUAGCGGUGAAAUGCGCAGAUAUCAGGAGGAACACCGGUGGCGAAGGCGGGUCUCUGGACCGACACUGACGCUGAGGCGCGAAAGCGUGGGGAGCAAACAGG
rnacentral:rRNA from 1 species